CCCCUGCCCUUGCUCAGCCUGGUGACCCCUUCUCUGCAGCCUCCGACCUUCCUCUGCAUCCUCUAGGAGACAUGCAGGUGAUGCCAGAAAAUGAUAUGAAGAAGACCAAGCAGCCAGAAUUAUCCCGGAGCCUCAGCUUUAGCCGCUCACCUAGGAACAAGGAGUCUUUGGGAUCAAAUAAAUCAUUCACAUCGUCAAAUGGAGUAGGAAGAAUGUUCAGGAGCGGGUCACCGUGCGGUUUACCACCCAAACGACGCUUUUCUUGCCUCACCAGGUGAGGUUCGUCCAUCUGUAAUCCAGGGAGACCCAGGAAGUGGUCCUGUGCCACAGGGCUGCCGCUCACAGAUUCCAGCUUCAGGCAUGAAGACCACAGCCUCCCAGAGCUUAUGAGCCAGCUUCCCUCCAAUGCAGCAGUUAAAUCCCUGAAACAAAUCCAUAUUUGUCUCCUGGAGGUGCAUCACACCCUCUGGUAGUAAUCUCGCCCCACACUGUGGCUUUUCCUGACAGCAGCCGAGUCGUGGCAGUAAACGCAAACGUCUAGGUCUCUUCCCGUGAGUGCAUUUCUGCUGCCUGACAAUAGACAUUCCACCCUGACGGUGGUCCCUGAGGUCCUUAACCAGGCCUGAGAGGUCCUGCGUCUCCCUGUCCCUCUCCUGCUCCCU